GAUGAACGCUGGCGGCGUGCCUAAUACAUGCAAGUAGAACGCUGAAGGAAGGAGCUUGCUCUUUCCGGAUGAGUUGCGAACGGGGGAGUAACGCGUAGGUAACCUGUCUGGUAGCGGGGGAUAACUAGUGGAAACGCUAGCUAAUACCGCAUAACAGUAGAUGUUGCAUGAUAUCUACAUAAAAGGUGCAAUUGCACCACUACCAGAUGGACCUGCGUUGUAUUAGCUAGUUGGUGAGGUAACGGCUCACCAAGGCGGCGAUACAUAGCCGACCUGAGAGGGUGAUCGGCCACACUGGGACUGAGACACGGCCCAGACUCCUACGGGGGGCAGCAGUAGGGGAUCUUCGGCGAGGGACGGAAGUCUGACCGAGCAACGCCGCGUGAGUGAAGAAGGUUCUCGGAUCGUAAAGCUCUGUUGUGAGGGAAGAACGAGUGUGAGAGUGGAAAGUUCACACUGUGACGGUAUCUUACCAGAAAGGGACGGCUAACUACGUG
rnacentral:rRNA from 1 species